rnacentral:misc_RNA from 1 species
UCCCAGUUAUCCUGGGCGGUUUCACUAGAGUGCCCGGCUUGACCCGAUGGCAACUAGGGAUAAGGGUUGCGCUCGUUGCGGGACUUAACCCAACAUCUCACGACACGAGCUGACGACAGCCAUGCAGCACCUGUGUAAGCUUCCCUUGCGGGAUCGUUAGACUUUCAUCCUUCUACUACCUACAUGUCAAGGCCAGGUAAGGUUCUUCGCGUUGUAUCGAAUUGAGCCACAUACUCCACCGCUUGUGCAGGCCCCCGUCAAUUUCUUUGAGUUUUAAUCUUGCGACCGUACUUCCCAGGCGGCGUAUUUAUCGCGUUGGCUACGCCACAAAAGGGGUCGAUUCCUUUUACAGCAAAUACGCACCGUUUACGGCUAGGACUAC